AUACGGAGGAUCCGAGCGUUAUCCGGAUUUAUUGGGUUUAAAGGGUGCGCAGGCGGCCAUUUAAGUCAGCGGUUAAAUCGUGGGGCUCAACCCCAUUCUGCCGUUGAUACUGGGUGGCUUGAUUGCGGUCGAGGUUGGCGGAAUUCGUUGUGAAGCGGUGAAAUGCAUAGAUAUGACGAAGAACACCGAUUGCGUAGGCAGCUGACCAGACCGCAAAUGACGCUCAUGCACGAAAGUGCGGGGAUCGAACAGGAUUAGAUACCCUGGUAGUCCGCACAGUAAACGAUGAAUACUUGUUUUCGGCGAUAUAAUGUCGGAGGCAAAGCGAAAGCGAUAAGUAUUCCACCUGGGGAGUACGCCGGCAACGGUGAAACUUAAAGGAAUUGACGGGG
rnacentral:rRNA from 1 species